UCCCUGGCGGUCCAGUGGUUAGGACUCGGCGCUUUCACAGCUGCGGCCCAGGUUCAAUCCCUGGUCAGGGAA